rnacentral:rRNA from 1 species
UACGUAGGGUGCAGGCGUUAAUCGGAAUUACUGGGCGUAAAGCGUGCGCAGGCGGUUAUGCAAGACAGAUGUGAAAUCCCCGGGCUCAACCUGGGAACUGCAUUUGUGACUGCAUGGCUAGAGUGCGGCAGAGGGGGAUGGAAUUCCGCGUGUAGCAGUGAAAUGCGUAGAUAUGCGGAGGAACACCGAUGGCGAAGGCAAUCCCCUGGGCCUGCACUGACGCUCAUGCACGAAAGCGUGGGGAGCAAACAGG